rnacentral:rRNA from 1 species
GGGUUGUGAGGUUAAGCGACUAAGCGUACACGGUGGAUGCCCUGGCAGUCAGAGGCGAUGAAGGACGUGCUAAUCUGCGAUAAGCGUCGGUAAGGUGAUAUGAACCGUUAUAACCGGCGAUUUCCGAAUGGGGAAACCCAGUGUGWUUCGWCACACUAUCAUUAACUGAAUCCAUAGGUUAAUGAGGCGAACCGGGGGAACUGAAACAUCUAAGUACCCCGAGGAAAAGAAAUCAACCGAGAUUCCCCCAGUAGCGGCGAGCGAACGGGGAGCAGCCCAGAGCCUGAAUCAGUGUGUGUGUUAGUGGAAGCGUCUGGAAAGGCGCGCGAUACAGGGUGACAGCCCCGUACACAAAAAUGCACAUAYUGUGAGCUCGAUGAGUAGGGCGGGACACGUGGUAUCCUGUCUGAAUAUGGGGGGACCAUCCUCCAAGGCUAAAUACUCCUGACUGACCGAUAGUGAACCAGUACCGUGAGGGAAAGGCGAAAAGAACCCCGGCGAGGGGAGUGAAAAAGAACCUGAAACCGUGUACGUACAAGCAGUGGGAGCCUCUUUAUGGGGUGACUGCGUACCUUUUGUAUAAUGGGUCAGCGACUUAUAUUCUGUAGCAAGGUUAACCGAAUAGGGGAGCCGAAGGGAAACCGAGUCUUAACUGGGCGUUAAGUUGCAGGGUAUAGACCCGAAACCCGGUGAUCUAGCCAUGGGCAGGUUGAAGGUUGGGUAACACUAACUGGAGGACCGAACCGACUAAUGUUGAAAAAUUAGCGGAUGACUUGUGGCUGGGGGUGAAAGGCCAAUCAAACCGGGAGAUAGCUGGUUCUCCCCGAAAGCUAUUUAGGUAGCGCCUCGUGAAUUCAUCUCCGGGGGUAGAGCACUGUUUCGGCAAGGGGGUCAUCCCGACUUACCAACCCGAUGCAAACUGCGAAUACCGGAGAAUGUUAUCACGGGAGACACACGGCGGGUGCUAACGUCCGUCGUGAAGAGGGAAACAACCCAGACCGCCAGCUAAGGUCCCAAAGUCAUGGUUAAGUGGGAAACGAUGUGGGAAGGCCCAGACAGCCAGGAUGUUGGCUUAGAAGCAGCCAUCAUUUAAAGAAAGCGUAAUAGCUCACUGGUCGAGUCGGCCUGCGCGGAAGAUGUAACGGGGCUAAACCAUGCACCGAAGCUGCGGCAGCGACACUAUGUGUUGUUGGGUAGGGGAGCGUUCUGUAAGCCUGUGAAGGUGUGCUGUGAGGUAUGCUGGAGGUAUCAGAAGUGCGAAUGCUGACAUAAGUAACGAUAAAGCGGGUGAAAAGCCCGCUCGCCGGAAGACCAAGGGUUCCUGUCCAACGUUAAUCGGGGCAGGGUGAGUCGACCCCUAAGGCGAGGCCGAAAGGCGUAGUCGAUGGGAAACAGGUUAAUAUUCCUGUACUUGGUGUUACUGCGAAGGGGGGACGGAGAAGGCUAUGUUGGCCGGGCGACGGUUGUCCCGGUUUAAGCGUGUAGGCUGGUUUUCCAGGCAAAUCCGGAAAAUCAAGGCUGAGGCGUGAUGACGAGGCACUACGGUGCUGAAGCAACAAAUGCCCUGCUUCCAGGAAAAGCCUCUAAGCAUCAGGUAACAUCAAAUCGUACCCCAAACCGACACAGGUGGUCAGGUAGAGAAUACCAAGGCGCUUGAGAGAACUCGGGUGAAGGAACUAGGCAAAAUGGUGCCGUAACUUCGGGAGAAGGCACGCUGAUAUGUAGGUGAAGUCCCUUGCGGAUGGAGCUGAAAUCAGUCGAAGAUACCAGCUGGCUGCAACUGUUUAUUAAAAACACAGCACUGUGCAAACACGAAAGUGGACGUAUACGGUGUGACGCCUGCCCGGUGCCGGAAGGUUAAUUGAUGGGGUUAGCGGUAACGCGAAGCUCUUGAUCGAAGCCCCGGUAAACGGCGGCCGUAACUAUAACGGUCCUAAGGUAGCGAAAUUCCUUGUCGGGUAAGUUCCGACCUGCACGAAUGGCGUAAUGAUGGCCAGGCUGUCUCCACCCGAGACUCAGUGAAAUUGAACUCGCUGUGAAGAUGCAGUGUACCCGCGGCAAGACGGAAAGACCCCGUGAACCUUUACUAUAGCUUGACACUGAACAUUGARCCUUGAUGUGUAGGAUAGGUGGGAGGCUUUGAAGUGUGGACGCCAGUCUGCAUGGAGCCGACCUUGAAAUACCACCCUUUAAUGUUUGAUGUUCUAACGUUGGCCCCURAUCGGGGUUGCGGACAGUGUCUGGUGGGUAGUUUGACUGGGGCGGUCUCCUCCUAAAGAGUAACGGAGGAGCACGAAGGUUGGCUAAUCCUGGUCGGACAUCAGGAGGUUAGUGCAAUGGCAUAAGCCAGCUUGACUGCGAGCGUGACGGCGCGAGCAGGUGCGAAAGCAGGUCAUAGUGAUCCGGUGGUUCUGAAUGGAAGGGCCAUCGCUCAACGGAUAAAAGGUACUCCGGGGAUAACAGGCUGAUACCGCCCAAGAGUUCAUAUCGACGGCGGUGUUUGGCACCUCGAUGUCGGCUCAUCACAUCCUGGGGCUGAAGUAGGUCCCAAGGGUAUGGCUGUUCGCCAUUUAAAGUGGUACGCGAGCUGGGUUUAGAACGUCGUGAGACAGUUCGGUCCCUAUCUGCCGUGGGCGCUGGAGAACUGAGGGGGGCUGCUCCUAGUACGAGAGGACCGGAGUGGACGCAUCACUGGUGUUCGGGUUGUCAUGCCAAUGGCACUGCCCGGUAGCUAAAUGCGGAAGAGAUAAGUGCUGAAAGCAUCUAAGCACGAAACUUGCCCCGAGAUGAGUUCUCCCUGACCCUUUAAGGGUCCUGAAGGAACGUUGAAGACGACGACGUUGAUAGGCCGGGUGUGUAAGCGCAGCGAUGCGUUGAGCUAACCGGUACUAAUGAACCGUGAGGCUUAACCUUACAACGCCGAAG